AGCGAACGCCGGCGGCAGGCCUAACACAUGCAAGUCGAACGGCCCUUCGGGGUAGUGGCGGACGGGUGAGUAACGCGUGGGAAUGUGCCCUUUGGUACGGAACAACUGAGGGAAACUUCAGCUAAUACCGUAUGUGCCCUUCGGGGGAAAGAUUUAUCGCCAUUGGAGCAGCCCGCGUUGGAUUAGCUAGUUGGUAGGGUAAAGGCCUACCAAGGCUACGAUCCAUAGCUGGUCUGAGAGGAUGAUCAGCCACACUGGGACUGAGACACGGCCCAGACUCCUACGGGAGGCAGCAGUGGGGAAUCUUGCGCAAUGGGCGAAAGCCUGACGCAGCCAUGCCGCGUGUAUGAUGAAGGUCUUAGGAUUGUAAAAUACUUUCACCGGGGAAGAUAAUGACGGUACCCGGAGAAGAAGCCCCGGCUAACUUCGUGCCAGCCGCCGCCGUAACAC
rnacentral:rRNA from 1 species